CGGCGACGGCGGCGGCGGCGGCCAUAGUGGGGAAGCACGGCGGAGGCGCGGGGAGGCCGGAACCCUGCCGACGACGGCGAGCCCGUAGCCCUUGAGCCCGACGAACUUUGCUACCUGGGGCGCCGAUGCCGUACUCGCGGGAGUCGACAGCGAGGCCGAGCUCGACGUUGGCCUGGACGGUGUCGUGGCCGUCGUCCAGGAGGUUGUAGGCGCGAUGGCCGUCCGACCAGGGGAGCAAGGUGGCGGCGGCGACGACGCGGGAGCAGGGGAGCAAGGCGGCGGCGACGGGCGCGGCCUUGACCUCGCCACGGUGCGCAGCCUCAACGGCGUCCGCGUGGCCGACGAGAUCCUGCGGCUUGUCCCGGACGCCGCCGCGUUCCACACCACGCUGCGGUGCGUGAAGGAAUCGACAAGCUGCUCAGAGGAUUCGACGGCGCCGCGCCGUCGCAUCAUCCGUCGUCGUCUUGCAACCAGCAAGGAGCCGCGGCGGCAGCGGCAGUGGGAGCGGGAGGCCGUCUCCGCCGCGGCCGCCUCGACGCUGAGGAUCUCCGGGCGGCGCGGCCGACGGGGAAGGAGCGGCGGAGAGGAGAUUGACCGGCCGGCUCCCCACCCGGCGAACGCGAGCGCGAGCGCGAGCGUGAGGUUCGUGCUGGGCGGCGACGCGGCGGCGGAGACACGGGGCAGCAAGCUCGGCGGCGGCAGGCGAGUGCGGCUGCGGAUGGGGAGCGGCGGCGCCGACGACUCCGCGCCGCUCGGCCUCAUCGUCGUCGGCGGCUUCGAGCGCGGGCGGAGGUCUCCUCUGAUAGGCGAUGGCGGCCACGGUCACCGCGCCACUGUACGCGGCGGGGGCGUCGCACCGCCUGCUUCUCGUCGCUCGUCCGCCAUCACCGACCGCACGAGGGGGACGAGGAGGCCGGCGAGCUCGCGCUGCCCUGAGCCCGCGCGCCGCCACCAGGGAGCCGCCGUCGCCGGCCGCACCACCCUCCGGCCGCGCGCGCAGCCGCCUGUGCGAGAGCAGAGAGCGAGGGGAAGGCAGGAGAGAGAGAGAGGAGAAAAAGAGAGAGGGUGCUGACGUGGUCUCCAUGACCUGUGGGGCCCACGUGGGUCCCAUGCUGAGUCAGCCGCCACGUGGGACAAAACCGGGGUCAAAACCGCUGAGGGACCUUUUGUGACCGGUUUUGUAAGUUGGGGGACGCCGGAUGUCCGGUUUUGCAGUUCAGGGACGAUUUUGUAUCUCGCUGACAAGUUGAGGGACCUUGCGUGUACUUUUCCCUUUAAUUAGUGGAUAAGAGUUGAGGAAUGUAAAAAAGACUUAUUUUUCUGGGCGGCCCAUACAUUUGGGCCGGGACGGGAUUAUUGCUGCCUCCUUGAGGCCCGUACAGGAUUGGGCCCUGGUGAUUUGACAGGUGGGCUGGGCUACAACGAGCCUGCUCUGCAGGCCGCCUCGGCGUCUUCUCCGGGAAAACUCCGCCGCCGUCUCCUCUCCGGCGCGCGUACGGCGGCGAGUCGCCCUGGCUGACGGCGAUGGUGGGGGCAUCCGCGAUCGUCUCCGCCCCCCGCACGCCUCAUGCUCCGCCACCACGAGGUAUAUAUCGAGCGCGCAUUGCGAUUUUUCCUUUACCCUUCUGGGUUUUUGUUCUAGCUAGGCAGGGCGGUCGGCUAAUCACGCCGCCGAGAUCGCCGGAGUCCGGCGGCCGCCGCCUGCGUAGGCCCCCUUCUCCACCCAGCGUCUCAACUGGUCGACUCGGUGGCGACUCUCCACCCCCGCCUCCGCUUUCUCCUCCCCCGCUUUCAUCGAAGGGGACUCUUGCAAGCCCAAAAUCACCAACGUGAGCAACCAUUUCACUAUCUAGGAGAAUAUUGCUUGGCUUGAGAUCACAGUGAAUAAUUGGCAAUGGCCUAUGUUGGUGAAGAUAAUCAAGUGCAGAAACCACAUCAAUGGCAAUGUCGAGCCUUUUGAUGAUAUUUAAAACCUUGUCUUCCCCAUUUUCCUCAAGAUGCUGGUGUAGCCAUUGGUCCAAAUUUCCAUUUGGCAUGAACUCAUAUACAAGAGCCUUGAAGUCAUGGCCCUGAAUAUCAAUACUUGAGCAGACUGUUAGGAUCUUCACAAGAUUUCGAUGCCGAACACAUCUCAGAGCCUCACAUUCUGCAAUGAAGCUUUGAGAAGCCCCACGCUGUUGGAGAUUCAGCACUUUAACUGCAACAGUUACUUCUUGGUCUUGGAUCGUCAUUCGUCCUUUGUACACUGAUCCAAAGCUUCCUACUCCAAUGAGGUUAUCAGGAGCAAAAACAUUUGUUGCAUUGACUAAUUCAACAUAAGAUACUCUUAGAUGCGAAUCAUUGAUAAGUGCCAAGUCCGAUUUUGCUUGUGUCUUAUUCCUUUGCCAGAAUGCAAAUAGAGCUAAAAGCAAGAUAAGCAAUAGGAUUCCACUGCUUAUGGAAAUUGCUACGAUAAGCUUCAAAGACCGCUUUUUGGUGGAGUGAGUGGAGCAAAGAGGCAGCUUCAAAUCAGGUAUACCCCCACACAAGCCUUCAUUCCCUUCAAUUGCAGUUUCAUUUAUAUUGAGAAAUAUCCCAUCAUUAGGAACUGGCCCUUCAAAAUGGUUGAAUGAGAGGUUCAAACUAGCUAGGCCGUUCAUGCUUGCUAGAAAUUGAGGAAUGUCUCCAGAAAAGUUGUUGUGUGAAAGAUCAAGUACUUGAAGACCUUUCAGCCGACUCACUGAUGCUGGGAUUGGCCCUUGAAGGAAGUUCCCCUGUAUCUUAAAAUAUUGCAGGCUUUGACAAUCACCAAUAGAUGGAGGAAUUUCACCAGAAAUUUGGUUAUUAGAGAAAUCGAUGUCUGCAAUAUUUUUCAAGUUACUGAUUUCCAAUGGUAGUGACCCACUGAACAUGUUGCUUUGGAAGUACAUGAAAUCAGACAGGGUAGAUAUGAGAAAAACCUCCCUUGGAAUUGGACCGCUGAGCAUAUUGUGCUGAAUAUCAAUUUUUUCUAAAGUACAAUUUUUAAGAUCGGAUGGCAGAGGCCCACUAAGUGAAUUUUGUCCAAGAUAGAGUUUAUUCAACGAUGUGAGAUUACCAAGGGCAGGUGGAAUUUGGCCCAAUAGAUUAUUGAAUCCAAGGUCUAAAUGACUCAGCUUCCAGAGUGUACCAAGUGAGCUAGGAAUAUUACCCUCAAAAGAAUUGUUGCUCAUGAAAAGGUACAAUAAAUUAACAAGGUUUCCAAUUCCUUCAGGGAUCUUGCCACUUAUCAUGUUUUCGCUUAGGGCGAAAGCUUUCAAAUUUGUAGAAAGAUUUGCUACUGCAUUUGGUAGAGUCCCUCGAAAUUUGUUGCUGCUGAAAUCUAGAAACUCCAACUGACUACUAUUAGUUAAACUAGAAAGGAAUCCCCAACCAUAACUGUCAUUUGCCUGGAGUUGAUUGUUUUGAAUUGUCAGGACUGACAAACUAUUUAGGCCAUCAACGCAAGGAGGAACUACUCCUGAAAUCAUAUUCAUUUCUAUUGAAAAUGAGCUAAGCAUAGAAGAGUUGCACAUCCAAGUUGGAAUGGCACCCUCGAACUGAUUGUACCCUGCAUUAAAUAUUUGAAGCAAUGGGAAGUUGACUCUGUUGCCAGUUGGUAAUGAUCCUGUUAACUGGUUAUCCCGUACAUUGAAUAUUCUAAGAGAGGAGAGAUUGGAAAUGGAAGAAGGAAUGUACCCAGUGAGCUGAUUCCUAUCUAGGUACAAAUCUGUUAGAGAAUGAAGAUUUCCUAGGGAGGGAGGAAUGCUACCUGUAAGAUUGUUUUCAGCAAGAACAAGUCCAGAUAGCUUCUCAAGUUUUGCUAAUGAUUCAGGAAUUCCUCCAGUUAAUCUGUUCCCUCCCAAGCUUAGGUAAACUAGUGAAGAGAGGUUUCCUAGCCAAGAAGGGAUGCCACCAUGAAGGUUGUUUUCUUGCAAAAUUAGGGCAGUCAGAGAUGACAGUCCUUGCAAUGACACAAUCUCCCCCUGAAAUCUGUUAGUGCCAAGAUUAAGAAUGGUUAGUGAAGAUAGGUUCCCCAAGAACGUUGGAACUGGCCCUGAAAGUUGGUUCCCCCUCAGUUGCAAAUUCUUGAUCCUCUGAAGGUUACCAAGAGAAGAUGGAACUGAACCUGUCAAGUGAUUGUAGCUCAGGAUAAGACUUACUAGACUGGUGAGGUUUCCAAUCUCUGACGGAAUGCUUCCUGCAAGGCUGUUGUUGUAGAGGUUAAGGACCUCUAAGCUGCCCAGCUUACCUAUCAUGCGAGGCAUCGCUCCAUCAAGCAUGUUGUACUGCAACUGGACUGUGCGCAGCAUGGACAAAUCACCCAUGGCUGGAGGUAUCCCUCCUGAUAGGUGGUUGAAUGCCAGACUGAUGUUCUCAAGCUGUUGGCAUAGUGACAGUGAUGCCGGAAUGCCACCUUGCAGAGAAUUAUAGCUCAGGUUGACAUGCUGGAGGUCGAGAAGACGACCAAGCUCUGAAGGGAUGGUACCAGUUAGAUGAUUCACAGGGAGAUCAAGCUUUCUCAGGUAGGUGAGGUUGCCUAUGGAAGGAUCAAUGGUGCCAGAAAGAUCAAGGUUGCUGAGGUCCAGCGCCACCACACGGCCACGGCAGCGUCCCUGGAUGCCGCACGUCACACCUCGCCAUUGGCAGACAUGGAGCGAUUGGUUGCCACCCCACGAGGCCAUUGCUGACGACGGAUCACGGGUUAUUUGCGACUUGAAGGCCAUCAGUGCAAGGUGGUCGGUGGCAGGCUGAGCUCUGGUCGUGGGAGCUGGUGGAACAGCAGUUGCAAGGAGCAGCAGCGUGAGCAAGAAAGAGAACCCGGUCGCCACCAUUGCUAGAAAGAAGGAAGCGAGGUGUGUAUUUUCAAAAACAGAAGCUUAGGUGGUGAUUGCAGAGGCUACUCAGUCCAGCUUUACCAGUUCAUGGGAGGAAUGGUUGCUUCUGCUCUAUAGAGACAACACAUAUUCUCCUGCCUGAAUAUAAGCAUGGUGUGUUGGUCGUCAAGAUAAAUCAAUAGCUUGGAUCCCAAUCAAGUUGUCACUUUCUCAGGUAGUACCUGCACUUUGGUCAACACCCUUCAGUUGUAGUAAAUUGAUUACCAACAUUCUGUUCUGUUGCAACUUUAGUCAAUCAUCAGAUAGCCGGCCUCCUACCAGAAGUUUACAGGUUCCCUGGUCAAACUUUGCUGCCAGCUUGUUUGGGUUAAAGACAGAAGGAUGAAUUAGGCCGGCUGGCUGGCUGGCCGGCCUUGAUUUGUCCUUUAUGAAACAUUUCUACGCAUAAUUUACGGAACAAUAUUAAAGGUCUUCCGUUUGUUCCCAUAUAUCUGGUGUAGAAGAGCUGAGCUGUGCGUGUCAAUUAUUUGACGUUGAUGGCAAAUUGGCAAUAUGGUGCUAUGCUACUAUAGUGUACUUAUACAAUAAGGAAUAUAGCCAUCGGAGGGGAAGCAUUCUCAUUUGGACUGCACAUAUCAACUAAUUUGGACUGCAUAUGCUGCUCGCAGAUGGAGGUUCUUACGUCGCUAUCUUGUGCUGCUUAUUGCAACAGUUGUCAACAGUAUUAGCCAAGUCAGGCACUGCCAUGUUGACAUGUUUAUGAAUUGCUCAGUCAAGAAUUAUAUGUGCGAAGAGCGAAAAUGAGUAGCUAAUUGGAUGCCCUGCAAUACGAAUUGCUAUAGGCUCUUAUUUAGUAUACCUCUCAGCCAUUACAGAGUGUUGUGUAGGUGUGGCCAUAAGCUGACUGUAGCUGCUCGAGUACAAUAUUUUUGCUUGAUAAUGUAGUACAGCAUUUUGCCCUAGUUUAUUUCAAUUAACUUCCUCCUUUUCCUUA